rnacentral:rRNA from 1 species
AGAAUUUGAUCUUGGUUCAGAUUGAAUGCUGGCGGCGUGGAUGAGGCAUGCAAGUCGAACGAAGCAGAUAGCUUGCUAUCUGCUUAGUGGCGGAAGGGUUAGAAAUACAUGGGUAACUUACCCGUAACCUGGGGAUAACGCUUGGAAACGAGCGCUAAUACCGAAUGAGGUGCUUAAGAGGGAUCUCUUGAGCAUGAAAGUAGGGGAUCGAAAGACCUUGCGGUUACAGAGAGGCCCAUGGGAUAUCAGCUAGUUGGUGUGGUAAGAGCGCACCAAGGCUAAGACGUCUAGGCGGGUUGAGAGAUUGACCGCCAACACUGGGACUGAGAACUGCCCAGACUCCUACGGGAGGCUGCAGUCGAGAAUCAUCCGCAAUGGGCGAAAGCCUGACGAUGCGACGCCGCGUGAGCGAUGAAGGCCCUCGGGUUGUAAAGCUCUUUCGCCUGGGAACAAGAGAAGUUGGUGAAUAACCAGCUAAUUUGAGGGUACCAGGUAAAGAAGCACCGGCUAACUCCGUGCCAGCAGCUGCGGUAAUACGGAGGGUGCAAGCAUUAAUCGGAUUGAUUGGGCGUAAAGGGCGCGUAGGCGGGAAGGCAAGUCAGAUGUGAAAGCCCGGGGCUCAACCCCGGAACAGCAUUUGAAACUGCUUUUCUUGAGGGUAGGCGGGGAAAACAGAAUUCCACAAGUAGCGGUGAAAUGCGUAGAUAUGUGGAAGAAUACCCGUGGCGAAAGCGGUUUUCUAGCUUACUCCUGACGCUGAGGCGCGAAAGCAAGGGGAGCAAACAGGAUUAGAUACCCUGGUAGUCCUUGCCCUAAACGAUGUAUACUAGGUGUAACCGGACUCAACCCCGGUUGUGCCGUAGCAAACGCGUUAAGUAUACCGCCUGGGGAGUACGCUCGCAAGAGUGAAACUCAAAAGAAUUGACGGGGACCCGCACAAGCAGUGGAGCAUGUGGUUUAAUUCGAUGCAACGCGAAGAACCUUACCUAGGCUUGACAUGCAGAGGGAUAUCCAAGAAAUUGGGUAGUCCGCAAGGACCUCUGCACAGGUGCUGCAUGGCUGUCGUCAGCUCGUGCCGUGAGGUGUUGGGUUAAGUCCCGCAACGAGCGCAACCCUUAUCGUUAGUUGCCAGCACGUAAUGGUGGGAACUCUAACGAGACUGCCCGGGUGAACCGGGAGGAAGGUGAGGAUGACGUCAAGUCCGCAUGGCCCUUAUGCCUAGGGCUACACACGUGCUACAAUGGUCGGUACAGAAGGCAGCGAAGUCGCGAGAUGAAGCAAAUCCCUAAAACCGGCCUCAGUUCGGAUUGUAGUCUGCAACUCGACUACAUGAAGUUGGAAUUGCUAGUAAUGACGUGUCAGCUACAACGUCGUGAAUACGUUCACGGGUCUUGUACACACCGCCCGUCACAUCACGGGAGUUGGUUUUACCCGAAGUCACUGACUCAACCGCAAGGGGAGAGGUGCCGAAGGUAAGGCUGAUGACUAGGAUCAAGUCGUAACAAGGUA